UACGUAGGGGGCUAGCGUUGUCCGGAAUCAUUGGGCGUAAAGAGCGUGUAGGCGGCCCGGUAAGUCCGCUGUGAAAGUCCAGGCUCAACCCUGGGAUGCCGGUGGAUACUGUCGGGCUCGAGUCCGGAAGAGGAGUGUGGAAUUCCUGGUGUAGCGGUGAAAUGCGCAGAUAUCAGGAGGAACACCGAUGGCGAAGGCAGGUCUCUGGGCCACUACUGGACGCUGAGAAGCGAAAGCAUGGGGAGCGAACAGG
rnacentral:rRNA from 1 species